rnacentral:rRNA from 1 species
GAUGAACGCUGGCGGCGUGCCUAAUACAUGCAAGUCGAGCGCACGGACGAGAAGCUUGUUUCUCUGAUGUUAGCGGCGGACGGGUGAGUAACACGUGGAUAAUCUACCUAUAAGACUGGGACAACUUCGGGAAACCGGUGCUAAUACCGGAUAAAAACUUGAAACACAAGGUUCAAAAUUGAAAGACGGACUUGCUGCACCCUAUAGUUGUAUCCCCGUUGAUUAAGCUAGUUGGUAAGUUAACGGCUUCCCAAGGGAACGAUGAUAAGCCGACCUGAGAGGGGGAUGGGCAAAACGGGAACUGAGACACGCUCCAAACUCCUACGGAAGGCACAGGUGGGGAAUCUUGGGCAAGGGGGGAAGUCCUGACGGGGCAAGGCGGCGGAGUGAAGGAAGGUUUUCGGUUCGAAAAACUUGUUUGUUGGGGAAAAACAUGUGGGGAGUGGAAUGUUCAUAACGUGACGGUACCUAAUCAGAAAGCCACGGCUAACUACGUG